AAUAUUGCACAAUGGGGGCAACCCUGAUGCAGCAACGCCGCGUGGGGAUGAAGGCCUUUGGGUCGUAAACCCUUUUCUCGAGGAAGAGGAAGGACGGUACUCGAGGAAUCAGUCACGGCUAACUACGUGCCAGCAGCCGCGGUAAUACGUAGGUGGCAAGCGUUAUCCGGAAUUACUGGGCGUAAAGCGCACGUAGGCGGUCGGCUAAGUCUGACGUGAAAGCUCCUGGCUUAACUGGGAGAGGUCGUUGGAAACUGGUUGACUUGAGGCGAUGAGAGGGACGUAGAAUUCCCGGUGUAGUGGUGGAAUGCGUAGAUAUCGGGAGGAAUACCAGUGGCGAAAGCGGCGUCCUAGCAUCGGCCUGACGUCCAUGUGCGAAAGCGUGGGGAGCGAACGGGAUUAGAUACCCCGGUAGUCCACGCUGUAAACGAUGAGCACUAGGUGUGGGGAGUGUUAAAACUGUCCGUGCCGAAGCCAACGCGUUAAGUGCUCCGCCUGGGGAGUACGGCCGCAAGGCUA
rnacentral:rRNA from 1 species